rnacentral:pre_miRNA from 1 species
AGUGCAAUUGCUGGACCAUAUGGUAAGAGUGUGUCUAGUUUUGCAAGAUUGUCAUCCAAAGUAGCUGUACUGUUUUGGAUUCCCAUCAGCAAU